UACGAAGGGGGGCUAGCGUUGCUCGGAAUCACUGGGCGUAAAGGGUGCGUAGGCGGGUUUUUAAGUCAGGGGUGAAAUCCUGGAGCUCAACUCCAGAACUGCCUUUGAUACUGAAGAUCUUGAGUCCGGGAGAGGUGAGUGGAACUGCGAGUGUAGAGGUGAAAUUCGUAGAUAUUCGCAAGAACACCAGUGGCGAAGGCGGCUCACUGGCCCGGUACUGACGCUGAUGUGCGAAAGCGUGGGGAGCAAACAGG
rnacentral:rRNA from 1 species